ensembl:snoRNA small nucleolar RNA SNORA81
AACUUCUCUAUAAAGCGCCCUGCUAAAACUGCUGGAACCGAACCUUAGAGUUUAGUUCAUGUGGAUGUGUAAGCAUGGGCACACCAGAGAAGAAGAGGAAAAAGCAGAGGGUUGAAAAGAGGCUGGGGGGACCUCUUUCUUAAUGUCCGAUGUCCUUUGUCUCAAGAUCCUGUGAAACAGUG